UGUUAAAACUUUCGGCUAUUUCUAUUAUUAAAAAUUUGUAUGACUGACAGAAUAACUAAAUAAUUACAGAAUAAUUAUAUAGUUACACGUUGCGUGCUACUAUGCCUCAUUGUGACAUGCAAAGAACAAUUUUUAAUAGUAGAAAUUGAUGAAUUUUUUAAUA
rnacentral:pre_miRNA from 1 species